AUUAAUAAGCGGAGGAAAAGAAACUAACGAGGAUUCCCUCAGUAACGGCGAGUGAAGCGGGAAGAGCCCAGCACCGAAUCCCCCGCCUUCAGCGGCGGCGGGAACUGUGGUGUUUAGGACGAUCGCUGGGGAUCGGUUGGGAGUCCGAGUCCUCCUGAUCGGGGCUUCACCCAGAGCGGGUGUCAGGCCUCUACGGCCCCCGACCGGUUCUCUAAGGUCGUCCUAGGAGUCGGGUUGUUUGAGAAUGCAGCCCAAAGCGGGUGGUAAACUCCAUCUAAGGCUAAAUACAGACACGAGUCCGAUAGCGCACAAGUACCGUGAGGGAAAGUU
rnacentral:rRNA from 1 species